rnacentral:rRNA from 1 species
GCCAGCACCAUAUCUCACUGUAGUUCUUGCCAGAUGUCCCACUGAAGCUAGGCAGGGUUGAGCUUGGCCAGUACCAGGAUGGGAGACCUCCUGGGUCCAACUAAGGUUGCUGCUGGAA